rnacentral:sRNA from 1 species
UUGAUUUUAUGAUAGCCUAUUGAAACUCAAAUAUACGUAUGAUGUCUAAACAUUUUCAUUGACAAAUUACUCUAGUCAAAGCUGGGCUUUUUCUAAUUGUUAGCUUUGGAACAAAAAGGAACAGAUUUACUAAUUGUUUCUCUGUGCUGUGGAACUUUGCCAAUCUGUAUUUAUUCUUGACAUGUGCACAUAUGUGUGUUGUGCCUAUAUCAAAAUGAGCUAUUAAAAAUAGUUUUGGAAGAAGUUCAUUUUUAACCACCGAAAAAAGGACCAUAAAUGUGUGGUCAUUAAAGUCCUUAUGAUGGAUGGAUAUGGUUAAAUUAGAAAAACUUACCCCAGGUCAAGGAAUUUUCUGUCACCAGUCCUUUCCUGGAAAUGGUAAGUUUCAUCCUUUUGACCCUGCUCUAGAAAGCAACCCACAGCGAGAUGGACAUAGACUAAAGGCCUGUACUCACAGAACUUCACAGCCAAGAGACUUCAUUCAAUACCUGUCAGAGUGUAACCAUGGACUACCCGAAUCACCUGAGCUGCAUGUAGAUAUUUAGAUUUCUGCACCUCUCCUGUUCCUACAGGAUCAGAACCUCAGAAGGAGGGGAGAGAGGAGCCUGCAAAGCUGCCUUUGAGCAUGCACUGCUGUUGGUUCUUAUGUAUGACAAACUUAGGACAACUUCUCUGGUCCAUAUGCUCAUGGUGUAUAGAUGACAAUACUAAGCCCCAGAGAGAAGAAAUAACUGCUCCAAGUGCACGCAGAACCAGAAAUCCUUACCGUCUAACCUAGUGGUUUCGUACACCUAGCUGUCUGACUGAUGCAUGCUUUGAAUGCCAAUGGAUGAGUCAUUUCCUAUGAAUGGGAAAGGAGAAGGUGGCAUAAGUUCGGACCCAGAGUGUGCUACAGUUCUUGGUCUUUAGAACCAACAGACCCCCUGAAGAGUGAGAAACUGGGUCUUCCUCAGCCUAGAACUUCCAGCCAGCAGUCCAGAGUUUAGGCACAGCUAAAGCAUAAUUAGGGGGUUGUGGGGAUGUGGUGGUGGUGUAGCCAACACUCUGAAAGCCUCCAGCACCCUCCCCCCUUCCCUGGAUGGGUGCCUUCUGCAGGAUGCCUUCCAGGGACUAAGGGUCUGGCUUAGGCCAUGGAAAGAUUCUUCCGUUUUGCCAAAAUGAGUGUUACCAGAUAACUGUCACUAGUGGAAUGUAUAUAUACAAAGAUUGCAAAUACUCUGUUUUUGAAGGAAUUUCAUUUUUAUUUCUGAUUUCUUGGACUGUGAAGUCUUCACUCUUAAUUAGCAAGAAAGAAAAAAUGAUGUGAAUGAGGUGCUGUCCUGAAAAGAAUCAGGAGUGAGUUUUUAGGCAUUGACAUCAUUGACCAAGCUCAGGGACAUUGCCAGGAGUGAGCUGAAUUCGUUGCUAACUUCGAAUGUGGGAGGGCUGGGGUGAAUGGUCACUGUGAACCCCAGCUGUCAGCCCCUGAAACCUGGUGGACCCAACCCUGACUCCAGAGAUAGAGGAGUUCUUCUCAUCAGCCUAACUCUAACCUGAACUCACUGGGUCACCUUGAGCAUGUCACCAGGGCUUUCUGAGCCCUAGCCCCUUGUCUUUAAGAUAAGGGGUGGAAUUAGAGCACCAUAAACUGAGCUUUAUGGAGCUCCAGACUUCCAGGAGUGUGUGCCUGGAGGUGGGGGGUGGAGGACAAACAGAGAGGGAAUGUUCCCUUCCCGCAGUCUUGCCUUUAAGGACAGUAGCUCUGCCUCUAGGUUUUAUAUAUUUGUGUACAUGUAAAUUUUUCUUUGAAGCAAAUUUUAAAGAUUAACCACCAAUCAACUAGGUAUUUUAUUCUAGUUGUGGAUUAGAAUUUCCUGGAGCAUCUUCCAGUACAGAACAAAACAAAAACACACAUCUCUACAUCUCUUCUCCACUUCACUUCCCUACCACCCUGCCCAAAUAUCCUGCCAUAAUAGGUUGGCAGUGAGGUCCCAAGCAUCAGUAUUUCUGAGUAGUAAAUGGCUGAGAAAUCCCCAGAGAUCCUGACCUCUGACCUGGUGUUCCUCCCCAGGCAUGCCAGGGAAGAGUAACGUGGCAUCUCUGCGCCAGGCCCCUGGGCAGAACGGAACCAGCUUCCACGGCUGCAUCCGGAACCUUUACAUCAACAGUGAGCUGCAGGACUUCCAGAAGGUACCAAUGCAAACAGGCAUUUUGCCUGGCUGUGAGCCAUGCCACAAGAAGGUGUGUGCCCAUGGCACAUGCCAGCCCAGCAGCCAGGCAGGCUUCACCUGCGAGUGCCAGGAAGGAUGGAUGGGACCCCUCUGUGACCAACGGACCAAUGACCCUUGCCUUGGAAAUAAAUGCGUACAUGGCACCUGCUUGCCCAUCAAUGCGUUCUCCUACAGCUGUAAGUGCUUGGAGGGCCAUGGAGGUGUCCUCUGUGAUGAAGAGGAGGAUCUGUUUAACCCGUGCCAGGCGAUCAAGUGCAAGCAUGGGAAGUGCAGGCUUUCAGGUCUAGGGCAACCCUACUGUGAAUGCAGCAGUGGAUACACGGGGGACAGCUGUGAUCGAGAAAUCUCUUGUCGAGGGGAAAGGAUAAGAGAUUAUUACCAAAAGCAGCAGGGCUAUGCUGCUUGCCAAACAACCAAGAAGGUGUCCCGAUUAGAGUGCAGAGGUGGGUGUGCAGGAGGGCAGUGCUGUGGACCGCUGAGGAGCAAGCGGCGGAAAUACUCUUUCGAAUGCACUGACGGCUCCUCCUUUGUGGACGAGGUUGAGAAAGUGGUGAAGUGCGGCUGUACGAGGUGUGUGUCCUAAACACACUCCCGGCAGCUCUGUCUUUGGAAAAGGUUGUAUACUUCUUGACCAUGUGGGACUAAUGAAUGCUUCAUAGUGGAAAUAUUUGAAAUAUAUUGUAAAAUACAGAACAGACUUAUUUUUAUUAUGAGAAUAAAGACUUUUUUUCUGCAUUUGG